GUAGGGAAUAUUGCGCAAUGGGGGAAACCCUGACGCAGCGAUACCGUGUGUGGGAGGAAGGUCUUCGGAUUGUAAACCACUGUCAAAAGGGAAAAAUGUCGAUUGUGUUAAUACCACAGUCGAGUGAUGGUACCUUUAGAGGAAGCACCGGCUAACUCCGUGCCAGCAGCCGCGGUAAUACGGAGGGUGCAAGCGUUGUUCGGAUUUAUUGGGCGUAAAGCGCGCGCAGGCAGAAUAGUAAGUAAGAUGUGAAAUCUCGAGGCUCAACUUCGAAACUGCGUCUUAAACUACAAUUCUAGAAUAUCGGAGGGGAAUGGGGAAUCUCUCAUGUAGGGGUAAAAUCCGUAGAGAUGAGAGGGAACACCUGGGGCGAAGGCGCCAUUCUGGACGAUUAUUGACGCUGAGGCGCGAAAGCGUGGGGAGCAAACAGGAUUAGAAACCCUAGUAGUCC
rnacentral:rRNA from 1 species